AUUGAACGCUGGCGGCAUGCCUUACACAUGCAAGUCGAACGGUAACGGGCCUUCGGGUGCCGCCGAGUGGCGAACGGGUGAGUAAUACAUCGGAACGUGCCCGAUCGUGGGGGAUAACGAGGCGAAAGCUUUGCUAAUACCGCAUACGAUCUACGGAUGAAAGCAGGGGACCGCAAGGCCUUGCGCGGACGGAGCGGCCGAUGGCAGAUUAUGUAGUUGGUGGGAUAAAAGCUUACCAAGCCGACGAUCUGUAGCUGGUCUGAGAGGAUGAUCAGCCACACUGGGACUGAGACACGGCCCAGACUCCUACGGGAGGCAGCAGUGGGGAAUUUUGGACAAUGGGCGCAAGCCUGAUCCAGCCAUGCCGCGUGCAGGAUGAAGGCCUUCGGGUUGUAAACUGCUUUUGUACGGAACGAAAAGCCUUCUUUUAAUACAGGAGGGUCAUGACGGUACCGUAAGAAUAAGCACCGGCUAACUACGUG
rnacentral:rRNA from 1 species